UUAAUCCUUUUCCUUUUUAAUAUAUUUUGGUUUAUUCAAAAAAAAAAAAAAAAAGUUUCCACUUUUAUUAUGCUUAUGCUUUUUAUUUCAAACCUGAUUUCUCCUUCCACCGUCGUCCAUCUUCUCCUUCAAAGGCAUGGAGACACUGGUCCUGGUCAUUGCAUUGUCAGGAACUUGCAAUUGGUGUGUUAGAUCUUAAACAAGUAAAGUGUGAUAUCAUUCAUAAUAAAUGGUAUUGAUAAAAUGACUCUGUUGUUUAUUUUAGAAGAGUAAAUAGAGUUCCAUGCCAUGGUUUACAAAUUGACUUUAAAAGUGAGUCCUUUUCUAUUAUUAAGUAGAUUGUGAGUUUGUUCCCGUCGUAGUGUUUUUUGUUGAUUGCCGAAAAAUGUGAGAAUGUUUACGAGUAUGUUGAAACCAAAUUAGACUUGUGCAAAAUGGAUGUAAGAUUGUAUAUAGCUAAACAUGAAGUUGAAGUAGA